GAGAAAAUCUCCGGGGUAAAUGGGCACCCAGGCGAGACAGAGAAGAGAAAAGGAGAUCAGAAAAGCAACUCAGUUCCAUUUCACAGGCUCUUUUCUUUUGCAGAUUCUGCUGAUACAAUGUUGAUGAUCAUUGGCACAGUUGGUGCUGUUGGGAAUGGUUUAAGUCUGCCCUUGAUGACAGUAUUUCUUGGGGAUAUGAUUGAUGCUUUUGGAGAAAAUCAGAAUAACAAGGAUGUGGUGCAUGUAGUUUCCAAGGUGU
rnacentral:misc_RNA from 1 species